UAAGGAAUAUUGGUCAAUGGACGCAAGUCUGAACCAGCCAUGCCGCGUGAAGGAUUAAGGUCCUCUGGAUUGUAAACUUCUUUUAUCUGGGACGAAAAAAGGCGAUUCUUCGUCACUUGACGGUACCAGAUGAAUAAGCACCGGCUAACUCCGUGCCAGCAGCCGCGGUAAUACGGAGGGUGCAAGCGUUAUCCGGAUUCACUGGGUUUAAAGGGUGCGUAGGCGGGCAGGUAAGUCAGUGGUGAAAUCCUAGAGCUUAACUCUAGAACUGCCAUUGAUACUAUCUGUCUUGAAUAUUGUGGAGGUAAGCGGAAUAUGUCAUGUAGCGGUGAAAUGCUUAGAUAUGACAUAGAACACCUAUUGCGAAGGCAGCUUACUACGCAUAUAUUGACGCUGAGGCACGAAAGCGUGGGGAUCAAACAGGAUUAGAUACCCUGGUAGUCCACGCCCUAAACGAUGAUUACUCGACAUUUGUGAUACACUAUAAGUGUCUGAGCGAAAGCAUUAAGUAAUCCACCUGGGAAGUACGACCGCAAGGUUG
rnacentral:rRNA from 1 species